rnacentral:rRNA from 1 species
AUUGAACGCUGGCGGCAGGCCUAACACAUGCAAGUCGAGCGGAUGAAGGGAGCUUGCUCCUGGAUUCAGCGGCGGACGGGUGAGUAAUGCCUAGGAAUCUGCCUGGUAGUGGGGGAUAACGUCCGGAAACGGGCGCUAAUACCGCAUACGUCCUGAGGGAGAAAGUGGGGGAUCUUCGGACCUCACGCUAUCAGAUGAGCCUAGGUCGGAUUAGCUAGUUGGUGGGGUAAAGGCCUACCAAGGCGACGAUCCGUAACUGGUCUGAGAGGAUGAUCAGUCACACUGGAACUGAGACACGGUCCAGACUCCUACGGGAGGCAGCAGUGGGGAAUAUUGGACAAUGGGCGGAAGCCUUAUCCAGCCAUGCCGCGUGUGUGAAGAAGGUCUUCGGAUUGUAAAGCACUUUAAGUUGGGAGGAAGGGCAGUAAGUUAAUACCUUGCUGUUUUGACGUUACCAACAGAAUAAGCACCGGCUAACUUCGUG